AACUUGUGCCCCGAACCUCAGUCUGACCCACACUUUUAUUCUUAAAGACGUUCCAUAUGCAAAACACUGCACGACUUUUUCAUGCGUAUUCAACCCCUGGCCCCGCCUGUCCUCGCGUCUCAUGCUAAGUAAGUCCACGCCCUUCUGGGCAUGCGUGGUUUGCUGUGGUGGUCGUACGGGGGUCUCUUGGUGGUCCUGAGGCUGAAGAUUGUGGUCUUCCUCAUGAUUGAACUUUUGAACUUUUCCUCUCUGCGCGUGCGCUUUUGGUCCUUUGGUGCUUAUCUGAGUACGUCUGUCAGUCUUGAAAGGCUUGGAGACAGAGGACCUUCUUUAUCUGGGUUCUUUUCUUCUUCUGGUAUUGUUCUUUAUACAAGAAGCUUCAGAAAUUUGCAUUUUCCUUUGCUCUUUGUAUUAGGCAGAGGUUUCUUAAGUAAAAGGUUGAAAAUUCAACAGAUAACUCUACAAGCUAAAUUAGAAAUGCUUAAUUCAUUUUGUUAACCUAACUCUAAAAAUCUCUGUUUCACCUCGAGAGCUGUCAAUGAGCAGAAGGGCAGCUGAGAUGCUGAAAAGCAGCAAAGCUGAACAGCCUGCCUCAGCUUCAGCAGUGUGCAAUUGACUGAAGGCAAAACACGAAGCAGCAGAGCAGCGGGCUUCUGUGCGCACUGAAGCUGCCCCUGUGUUCUCUGCAUCUCGGAGCCUCUGGGGAGCAACAAGAAUUUCCAAGGUGGUCUAGGAGCCCGUCUGAAGCCCCUCAUUUUCCAUUCUGCCUUCCGAUUGCCACGAGAAAGAAUCCCUUCCUCCACUGCAGUUCCGGCUUAGAACAGGACACAGUGCAGUGAUUCAAAUGGACUUAUUCUUCAUUGGAUUCAUCUUGCUUUGGUGGUUUCUGUGGACUCACCUGUUCCCACGUGGCGAUUACAAUGGACUUUCGUUGUUACACUUGCUCCCCCCUCUUUCCUCUGUGGACUAUAACUGGAGCCCCGAGUCGACCAGAACUUCGGAGACUCCCCCGACACGACAGACGGAUCCCCAUCGUCCGGACCACUGAGGAUCUCGCCUGUGUUGGUAGCUAUUCCCAUACCCCUCUUCUCUCUCUCUCUCUCUCUCUCUCCUUUUAUCUCCUUUCCGAUCCCCACUAUCGCAUUUACUGGUUUGGCCCCUAAUAAAGGUGCAUUUGUUGUGAUUAACUGAUA